UGGCGAUCUAUCUCUUUCAGUUUUCAAUCAAACUCGUCCAGUCGUUGUUGUGACACAUCAAGAUGCCGCAAGUAACCUGAGGUAGAACCUUCCCCAAAAGAAGAUCUAGAUGGAGACUGCGACCUUUUCCCCUUGUGCUGAGUUUGUCGAGAGGAACGUGGAGACCAGCGAUCGUCGAAAUCAGCAUGCGAAGCACACCGAGACUUCGAACGCAAUGGCCAUCGGGUAGGUGGAGAACUUGCUCGAUGGGAGUGCCGCACAAAGUGGUGGGUUGGAGAUCGCGGUCGGUGGCUGCACCUGAAAGGUGCAUCAUACGAUGUGACCUCUUGCAAGCACUGUUG
rnacentral:lncRNA from 1 species